GUUCCUCUUCCAUAAGGCCAACCUGUCGAAAUCCUCGAUGCUCAUGCCGAACACUUGGACAAACUCUUCUGGGGAAAGGUGACGCUGGGACAAAGAAGGAAAAUCCCUUUAACACGUACUACCUGUUUUAUUUUCUCAGAAGGAAGAGUACAAUUUACCUCCAGUCUGGAUCUCUCGACAUCUCUGGGAAGCCUGUUCCUCCCUCUGGUGGUGACAAUAAGCGCUUCGUACGGAUAAAUCUGCAAGAGAAUUCAAACGGGCCUAAAAAUCAGAUGUCUCAUCUUCAUUACCAUUUGAAUAAUUCAAAACAUCUCAAUAGAAUUAAGUGUAAAGCGCUUACCUUGUAUUCUGCUGUAAUCCAAAUAAAAGAUAGUUAAGUUAGUGCAAUGGAUAGUGCUUGAUUCACUUAUUCAAAAAAAGAUUCACGUGCUUAAAAGAUGUUUCCAUAUACCUCUGCUUCCCCAGUUGAGUUCAUUACUACUGUCGUACUGGUACUGGUAGUAAUCGGCACUUUGAGGCUGCAGGUGAUUUGGAGUAAAACAGGGUCAGUUCAGCAAGUCGUAAAAACAAAAUACGCUCAAGUUUGUGAUAGUAAAGUGAAAAAAUGUGAGACAGUUUUAAUGGGAUUACUUUUUUGAAUUUUUAUUCAAGGCUCUGCACCACAUACAAGGAUCAAAUUUAGCAUAUUUUCAGGAAAAUGCUUUGUGUGAUUCACUCACCCGUUGUAUGCCAUUGCGUCCAUAACCGGGAAGUGAGGCAGACUUGCAAACAAACUCUAAAAUAAAAACAUGAACAUUUAAAAGUA